GCUGUGAUGGCCGAGUGGUUAAGGCGUUGAACGAGAAAUCCAAUGUGGUCUCCCCGCACAGGUUCAAAUCCUGAUCACAGCG
rnacentral:tRNA from 1 species